AAAUUUUCUUCAAGUGCCAAGCUUAUUCUUUCCUUCUCUUUUUUCCAUUUUCUUUUGGACUCAUAAUCAUUUUACUCAUUUACUCAAGUUGUAUCUCUUUUAUAAUAAUCUCAUUAUUCACUCAUUGCUGAAACGAUUAGAGAAAGUUUCAAGCUUUUGGUAAAAAAAUCGUUUCUUUCUCAAUAAUUACAUUAGGGUUUUACACUACUCUUUUAUAGACAUUGUAGAAGGAGCUAGAUAUGGAACAGUCUAGAAUAUGGCAGAUGCUGUGUAGCUGGCUAUGGUGAGUCAUCAGGCAAAACGCCCCUCCUCUGUACGAUCGUUGCUCUGUUUUGAGCUGGAGUCUAUUUUGUCUUCUUCUAUUUGACUGGGCUGAGAUGGGCCUUUUGUUGUUGUUGGGCCGGUUACUUGUUUGUUGCUCACACUCCCCCUCAAACUUGGAGUGGGUGAACCAGACACACCAAGUUUGCUCCUGAGAUCAACAAAUGCUCGGCGUGGAAGUGACUUUGUAAACACGUCAGCUAAUUGAAAGGUAGCUGAAAUGUGUUGUGUUUCGAUCAGACCGAGUGCGACCUGCUCCCUGAUGUAGUGAUAAUCGGUAUCAAAAUGUUUUGAACGAUUGUGGAGAGCCGGAUUUGCAGAUAGGUACACUGCGGAGAGGUUAUCACAGUAAACUUGUGUAGGAAGAUAUUGGGGAAUGCCGAGAUCUCGCAGUAAGAAAGAGAUCCAAGUAAUUUCUCGUGCUGCAUAGGUUAGAGCUCUGUAUUCUGCUGCGGUAGAGGAAUUAGACACUGUAGGUUGUCGUUUUGCCGACCAAGAGAUCAAGUUGGAGCCUAACAAGAUGCAGAAUCCAGUAGUAGACCUUCUAGUAUUCUUGCAGCCCGCAUGAUCGCUAUCACUGUAGGCAGAAAGAGUAAGAGUAGAGUUCCUUUUUAUUGGCAAACCCAUUCCAAUUGUCCCUUUGAUGUACCGUAGUAUCCGUUUGAGCAGUCCGAAGUCAGAGGUUGUAGGGGAGUGCAUUCUCUGACAAAUAAAAUUGACAGCAAACUGAAUGUCUGGACGUGUGAUGGUAAGAUACUGCAGUUUUCCCGCAAGGCUUCGAAAAUAGGUUGGUUCUGCAAAUAGCUCAGAAUUGAGGUUGUCCAAUUGUUGUGGUAGAGGAGUUGGCAUGGGGUUGCAAUCACUCAUUCCUGCCUGUUGUAAAAUGUCUGUCGCAUAAGCCGUCUGAUGUAGAAAGAGACCAUUAGCAUAAUCUUCAAUUUGAAUACCCAAGAAAUAGCGAGGUGGACCAAGAUCCUUCAUAGAAAACCGAUUCUUGAGAGCUUGUAGAAGAUCUUCUAAGAGAGAUUGAUCACUGCCAGUCAACAAAAUGUCGUCAACAUAUAACAGUAAAUAGAGUAUUUUUCCAUCUUGAUGACACACAAAUAAUGAGGGGUCCGAUUUACUGCAGACAAAUCCAUAAUCAAGAAGAAAGUUGCUGAAAGUAUCAAACCAUGCCCGUGGCGCUUGUUUCAAACCGUAGAUGGCUUUCGUGAGACGACAGACAUGAGUGGGUUUCUGAGGAUCAAUAAAACCUGAGGGUUGGUACAUGAAGACCGGUUCUUGCAGCUCACCGUGUAAGAAGGCAUUGGAGACAUCAAGCUGCUUAAUAGGCCAACCUUUUGAUGUUGAGACAUCAAGAACAAGACGAAUUGUUGCUGUCCGAACCACAGGACUGAACGUUUCUAGAUAGUCCACCCCUUCCUCUUGAUCGAAGCCCUUAGCCACUAGACGAGCUUUCAGUUUAUCGAUUGAGCCAUCCGGGUGAAGUUUGGUUUUAAAAACCCACUUGGAGCUUAGAAUAUUCAUAUCAUCAGUUGGAGGAACCAACGACCAUGUAUGCAACAUAUGGACCCGGUUAAUCUCCUCAUGUACUGCUUCAUUCCAACCAGGAUGCUUCAUAGCGGAUGCAAGGGUUUUUGGUUCAGCAGUAUUCAUUCGAGAGGUGAUGAGAGCAUACCUCGUGUUUGGCU
rnacentral:sRNA from 1 species